GGACUUGAUUGUGGGGAAAAAUCCACAGUUAAGUGUGCUUGAGCUAGAGGAGUCUUAGGAUGGGUGACCUCUUGGGAAGUCCUAGUUACCAGGUGCA
rfam:Picea glauca, whole genome shotgun sequence.